AUUCCGUUCGUAUUCGGUAAGUAACCAGCAAAAGGCAUUAUCCCAUUCCGAAGUGGGGCUUUUUUGUUGUGCUUAUCGGCGGAUGAAGACAUGGUAAGGAAAGGGAAGCUCAAGGGAGUUUUCCCAAUUUCUGUUGGUGUCUUUAUAUCACGUUGAAGCCUACAGGCUAAAGUCAAAUUUUGGACUUUAGCCUGUUUUUUGU
rnacentral:ncRNA from 1 species